rnacentral:rRNA from 1 species
AUUGAACGCUGGCGGCAGGCUUAACACAUGCAAGUCGAGCGGAGAUGAGGUGCUUGCACCUUAUCUUAGCGGCGGACGGGUGAGUAAUGCUUAGGAAUCUGCCUAUUAGUGGGGGACAACAUUCCGAAAGGAAUGCUAAUACCGCAUACGCCCUACGGGGGAAAGCAGGGGAUCUUCGGACCUUGCGCUAAUAGAUGAGCCUAAGUCGGAUUAGCUAGUUGGUGGGGUAAAGGCCUACCAAGGCGACGAUCUGUAGCGGGUCUGAGAGGAUGAUCCGCCACACUGGGACUGAGACACGGCCCAGACUCCUACGGGAGGCAGCAGUGGGGAAUGUUGGACAAUGGGCGGAAGCCUGAUCCAGCCAUGCCGCGCGUGUGAAGAAGGCCUUUUGGUUGUAAAGCACUUUAAGCGAGGAGGAGGCUACCUGGAUUAAUACUCUAGGAUAGUGGACGUUACUCGCAGAAUAAGCACCGGCUAACUCUGUGCCAGCCGCCGCCGUAAGAC